CCACCAGAGUGCCUAUUUCGGGUCACUUUUGCCGGUGUUCUGGGAAUUUCUCCUACCCCGCAAACCGUCCUACCCGUUGUUCCUGAGCAUGUGCGCGCAUGCGCACAACACAUAAAGCGAAGCAAAGCGCAUCCGGCUGUGAUUUAAUGCUACCCCGUUGUCAUAUUUGCAGGAAAAUAGCUUCGGUGAAGUCUGCUGUCAAGUUACUGGACACGUGGUAUUUGCACAACACUUCUGAAUCCGCAGCUUCGGUGUUUUAAGGCUGUUUCGAUAUGGAGAAGAAGUGGGAAGAGAUUUACGCGUUCAUUUCUGCGGGCUCCUACCCUUCAGGAUAUGACAAGGCUCAGAGGCAAAACCUCAGAAGAUAUGCCUCAAAAUUCCAACAAAAGGAUGGAGAACUCUUUGUUGGAACCAGAAAAGUAGUAAAAACCAUGGAUGAUGCCAGGAAGAUAUUUCAUGAGUUUCAUUCAUCUCCAAUUGGAGGACACACUGGCACA